AUUGAACGCUGGCGGCAGGCCUAACACAUGCAAGUCGAACGAGUGGCGGAGGGGUGAGUAGUGUCUGAGAAACUGCCUGAUGGAGGGGGAUAACUACUGGAAACGGUAGAUAAUACCGCCUCACAUCGGAUGUGCCCAGAUGGGAUUAGCUAGUAGGUGGGGUAAAGGCUCACCUAGGCGACGAUCCCUAGCUGGUCUGAGAGGAUGACCAGCCACACUGGAACGGAGACACGGUCCAGACUCCUACGGGAGGCAGCAGUGGGGAAUAUUGCACAAUGGGCGCAAGCCUGAUGCAGCCAUGCCGCGUGUAUGAAGAAGGCCUUCGGGUUGUAAAGUACUUUCAGCGGGGAGGCGUUACCCGCAGAAGAAGCACCGGCUAACGCCGUGCCAGCAGCCGCGGUAAUAC
rnacentral:rRNA from 1 species